rnacentral:rRNA from 1 species
UACGUAGGGCGCAAGCGUUUGUCCGGAAUUAUUGGGCGUAAAGAGCUCGUAGGCGGUCUGUCGCGUCUGCUGUGAAAACCUGGGGCUUAACCCCGGGCCUGCAGUGGGGUACCGGGGCAGACUAGAGGUGUGGUAGGGGGAGACUGGAAUUCCUGGUGUAGGCGGUGGAAUGCGCAGAGUAUCAGGAGGAACACCGGUGGCGAAGGCGGGUCUCGUGG